rnacentral:rRNA from 1 species
UACAGAGAGUGCAAGCGUUAUUCGGAUUCACUGGGCGUAAAGGGUGCGCAGGCGGCCGUGCGUGUCAGGUGCGAAAGCCCGGGGCUUAACCCCGGAAUUGCGCCUGAAACUACAUGGCUAGAGCAUUGGAGAGGGUAGCGGAAUUCACGGUGUAGCAGUGAAAUGCGUAGAUAUCGUGAGGAACACCAGAGGCGAAGGCGGCUACCUGGACAAUUGCUGACGCUCAGGCACGAAAGCGUGGGGAGCAAAAGGG